rnacentral:rRNA from 1 species
UGGUUGAGUGAUAACGUAAGGGAAAAAAUUGAUAUUACCUUACUAUUAGUGUUGUCCAAAUUACUGGUGCCAGAAGACUCGGUAACGCCAGAAACGCAAACGUUAGUCGUCUUAAUCAGGCGUAGAGGGUGUGUAGGCCGCUUUUAAUAUAAACUAAAAGCUAGAAUCAAAAUGAGGAUAGCAAAAUGCUAAGUGUAGGGUUAAUAUCUGCAAAUACUAAGUGGAAUACUCACGGUGAAAACUGCUAUCUAAUAAUGAUUGACGCUGAGACACUAAGGUUUGGAGAGGAAAUAGGAUUAGAUACCCAGAUACCCCUUACUGUCAACGAUGAAUGGUAGUUGCUAAUUUAUAUUGAAUUAGUUACGAUGCUAACGCGUUAACCAUUCCCCGUUGCAAGUACG